ACAUCCAUCGGACACAGUGGCCGCCGAAGCCCUUGGGAAGGCGGGGAUAGCUGGAACAAUUUCUUUACGUACC
rnacentral:ribozyme from 1 species